GAUUUCCUAAAAUCCAAAUUCAGUCGUGAAGAGAGAACUAAUUAACAACAAUAACAAUUUGUUACCACACCGAGUGACGGAGAAGUAUCACCCCCAUUUAGAAGAAUUUUGUAUCAGGAAAAUACGCUGUCUUGUUGUUUCAUUUGAAAUUGUAUGAAAUUAAGAACACUACAUCAACGUGUGCAGUAUCAGUUCAGUCAUCUCAACAACUACAUCCAAAUCCAACUUAGCAACCUUUCCAGAACGAGUUUCAAAUUACAGCAGCUUCCAGAACCAUCUCAAAAGUGUCCACAGAAUGAGAUUCAAUUCUCUGCAGCUUCCAAAACCGACUCAUCAUACCUAGAAUUUCAUUCGUGAACAAAAUAUCGGUGAGUCAUGUCAAUAAAUGAAAUCUAAAUGGUCGAUUUUCCAAAAAUCAAGUCGGUAAUUGAUAUAUACAUUUUACACAUCAAAGAUAAUUAUUCGGAUCAUAUUGUCAAACAAGCUAUAAAAUUUAUUAAUAAACAUAUAAAGAAAUG